rnacentral:piRNA from 1 species
UGUGCGAAUCAGCUUUGUGUCGCUGUGACCA